AGAAGUAUCAGAAGUUUGUGAGAGAA
rnacentral:sRNA from 1 species